UACGAAUGGGGCAAGCGUUGUUCGGAAUCACUGGGCGUAAAGCGCGCGUAGGCGGACCUGCAAGUCGGGGGUGAAAGCCCGAGGCUCAACCUCGGAACUGCCUUCGAUACUGCGGGUCUCGAGUCCGGGAGAGGUGAGUGGAAUUCCUAGUGUAGAGGUGAAAUUCGUAGAUAUUCGGAAGAACACCAGUGGCGAAGGCGGCUCACUGGACCGGUAUUGACGCUGAGGUGCGAAAGCGUGGGGAGCAAACAGG
rnacentral:rRNA from 1 species